rnacentral:rRNA from 1 species
GACCGAGGAUGCAAGCGUUAUCUGGAAUGAUUGGGCGUAAAGCGUAUGUAGGUGGCUUUUCAAGUCCGCCGUCAAAUCCUAGGGCUCAACCUUGGACAGGCGGUGGAAACUACCAAGCUGGAGUACGGUAGGGGCAGAGGGAAUUUCCGGUGGAGCGGUGAAAUGCAUUGAGAUCGGAAAGAACACCAACGGCGAAAGCACGCUGUUGGGCCGACACUGACACUAAGAGACGAAAGCUAGGGGAGCAAAUGGG